rnacentral:rRNA from 1 species
AGUCGCCGCGGUAAUACAGAGGGUGCGAGCGUUAAUCGGAUUUACUGGGCGUAAAGCGUGCGUAGGCGGCUUCUUAAGUCGGAUGUGAAAUCCCUGAGCUUAACUUAGGAAUUGCAUUCGAUACUGGGAAGCUAGAGUAUGGGAGAGGAUGGUAGAAUUCCAGGUGUAGCGGUGAAAUGCGUAGAGAUCUGGAGGAAUACCGAUGGCGAAGGCAGCCAUCUGGCCUAAUACUGACGCUGAGGUACGAAAGCAUGGGGAGCAAACAGGAUUAGAUACCCCCGUAGUCCCUGUCUCUUAUACA